GCAGUCGAGCGGAUGAGAGAGCUUGCUCUCUGAUUCAGCGGCGGACGGGUGAGUAAUGCCUAGGAAUCUGCCUGGUAGUGGGGGACAACGUUUCGAAAGGAACGCUAAUACCGCAUACGUCCUACGGGAGAAAGCAGGGGACCUUCGGGCCUUGCGCUAUCAGAUGAGCCUAGGUCGGAUUAGCUAGUUGGUGAGGUAAUGGCUCACCAAGGCGACGAUCCGUAACUGGUCUGAGAGGAUGAUCAGUCACACUGGAACUGAGACACGGUCCAGACUCCUACGGGAGGCAGCAGUGGGGAAUAUUGGACAAUGGGCGAAAGCCUGAUCCAGCCAUGCCGCGUGUGUGAAGAAGGUCUUCGGAUUGUAAAGCACUUUAAGUUGGGAGGAAGGGUUGUAGAUUAAUACUCUGCAAUUUUGACGUUACCGACAGAAUAAGCACCGGCUAACUCUGUGCCAGCAGCCGCGGUAAUACAGAGGGUGCAAGCGUUAAUCGGAAUUACUGGGCGUAAAGCGCGCGUAGGUGGUUCGUUAAGUUGGAUGUGAAAGCCCCGGGCUCAACCUGGGAACUGCAUUCAAAACUGACGAGCUAGAGUAUGGUAGAGGGGUGGUGGAAUUUCCUGUGUAGCGGUGAAAUGCGUAGAUAUAGGAAGGAACACCAGUGGCGAAAGCGACCACCUGGA
rnacentral:rRNA from 1 species